ACCUACGGGGCGCAGCAGUGGGGGAUAUUGCACAAUGGGGGGAACCCUGAUGCAGCGACGCCGCGUGGGUGAAGAAGCGCCUCGGCGCGUAAAGCCCUGUCAGCAGGGAAGAAAAUGACGGUACCUGAAGAAGAAGCCCCGGCUAACUACGUGCCAGCAGCCGCGGUAAUACGUAGGGGGCAAGCGUUAUCCGGAUUUACUGGGUGUAAAGGGGGCGCAGACGGCGAUGCAAGCCAGGAGUGAAAGCCCGGGGCCCAACCCCGGCCGGCCGUUGAAACUGGCGUGCUCGGGUUGGAGAGAAGUAG
rnacentral:rRNA from 1 species